CUGCAUCGACCCAUCACAUCGAUCAUCCCGCCUCAUCCCACCAGCGUACUCGCCGGCGUAGCUUUCCCCACAGUGUAAUAGUAAUUGCAAGGAGAGAGACACAACUGGAUACAGGGACACAAGUGGGAGCACAAGUACAGUGUACUUGCAGCAUUGGCUGAACCAAUGACCAAGCAAAAAAAAAAGAAAAACAGGGGAGAAAGAAAGGAGUCUCGGAACUAAACAGGUUCAGCCAUGCCAAAAACACAAAUCCAAGAGAUCUGCUUCAUCAGCACGGAUCCGAGAUCUAGAAGAAAGAAUUGAACAAAAGGAUAGAGAGGGAUGCAAAUGACAAGU